rnacentral:tRNA from 1 species
UGCAACUUAGUUUAAUUAGAACUACCAACUUGCACUUGGGGGGAGAGAUGUCUCAGUAGCGG